CAUAUUUCACAAUUUCUUUUUCAAUCGAACUAUUGCAUAUCGGCCGCCACGGGAUUGCUACACGCGCCUCGACUGGGCACCGGCGACGUCGUCGUUACCACGCUUGGAAUUUACACGAUGAAAUGGCCAGAUAGCUGGAGCCGAUAAGCGGCCCUCGUCGAUAACGAGCCGUACAUGCCUCAGAAUGCACGUAUGCACAAUGCACACACAAGGGAAGCUGAGAUGCGUGCACGCAUCUGACGCCCAACGUUCAGCCACUUUCCCUGUGUAUAACUAUAUGUACAUACGCGACGAUAUGAGUUUCGUUCCCUUUGCCUUUGCGUACGCGCCACUAUUCGCCAAUUCGGCAUUAUAUUCGACGAGGUAGUGGAAGAAAAAUGGAAGAAGAACAUACCGCAUGUUUCGCUUGAUGCCUCUUUAUGUAUAUCUCGAGGUCGAAGACUGCGCCAUAAAUGGCGAAAAAUCGGCCUGAUCCAGGCUUACCAUGAUGAACUCGGAAUCGCGAACGAUGAGCCGCGAGAGCCAAUCGUGGUCACGCCGCCGAUCAGCUGUCGGGUAAAUUUACACCAGGUGAAUCAGAACUGUAUGUGGCUUAGAAACAUGUAUCGCAAGGCGUGUUUCCACGGGAGAUGUGAGGUACAACCAGUGCGGAUGUCGAAACAGCUUCGAUCGGUCGUAACUCCGUUAAGCGCAGAGACUUGGCGCAAAUUACUCGGUCGAAGUUGAUGUUUAUUUCCAUGACACUUAGGAACUUGCUGCGAAGUUUGUUGUCCCCUCGCGGCCCUGUUAAAUGAUGUCAGACAUCGCAGCAAGGAAGCAACCGAGUGACAGCGUUAAUUCGCGCUGUCUUCUCCGAUACACUCUGUUAGAGGACCAAUCGCCUCCAGUAACAAGAUGCUGAUACUUGAGUGGUGUUUGCGUGUUGUUUUGGACAAUCUCAAAAUUUUAUAGGAAUUUCGUAAUUUAAUGUUUCAUGUCUAUAUUUAUUUUUGAAAGUGC
rnacentral:misc_RNA from 1 species